GGAGGCCAAGGAUUGCCAUGUACUGGCCAGUAGGGGGCGAAUCCUGCCUGUGCCUUCUCUUUUCACCUUGCCCCUGUGAUGGUGAGCUCCAUUGUAGAUGAGUCACCAAAACAUUUUGUAUUUUUCACAAUGCAGGUGACACAGGAACACAGACAUGGAUGGGCCUUACUGAAAUACGAGGCAGAGGAAACAAGGGCAGGGUGUGGUGCUGAGUUGUGGACCCAUUAGGGACCAGUUUCCUCUGGAUUCCAGCAGCGAGUCCACUGAAGUCUCCAGCCCUGGACGUCUGGCGCCUGAAGGGGCGGCUCUCAGCUUAGGGGAUUGGUGUUUCAGGUGGAGGGAAGUCCCAAACACAACCUUCACGUGGUCAUAAUGGGCUUCAAAUUUCAGCUUGGCAGCCUAGUACUGGGGCUUUUGGGAGUGGGGCCAAAGGGUAAGAAAACAUGGUCAAGAGAGAACUCCUCAUGAAAGCAUGGCCAGAGGUGGAGAGGGAGGGGCGGGCUUACCAGACAUGCCAUGGAAGAGGCAGGCCAGCUGCUGGCUCCGCCUCAUUUCCUCCAAGAAGACUGGUGGGCACUGAAGAAACUUCAUCUUGAGUCAAUGGCAACGAUGGCCACUGAACAACCCUGCCCUUCACCUCAACUGCUACAAAGUAUUCCAGACCAUGGACAAGAGGACAGUGGAAUCAACUUUCCCCAUGUUGGGUCAAUGGUCAAAGAGGUACCAAGUUCCAUACAGCCUGGACUUCGAUGGAGCAACCAGAUACCCCAGGACUUGGCAGCAUCCCAGCUUUCUCAGGUCCUCCAAAGAUGGUCAACACCCUCCAUGUUAGCAGGAAGCAGUCUUGAGACUUCGACGCCCUUAUUCCUUAAUCUGCCAUGUCUAACACCCCACCUUUUUAAUAAUAAGUAAAGGUGGGAUUGAAAGGUUCAGGCAUUAUGCUGGCCUGCCCCUGUCACCUGGCAGAAUCCACUCAGGCAGCACCCUGGUCAUCCCAGGGUUCCAUGGGAACUAAGUCUGCACACAGGUAUAGAGGACCCCUUUAAAAGAUAGACCCCUGCCCACUUACACUCUCUUCUCUCUCUGCCUCUCUCUCUGCUUCUUCUCCUCUCUUCUAUUUCUCUCUCACUCACUCUCCAUGAAAUAAUAAACUGGUUAAUGUA
rnacentral:lncRNA from 1 species